rnacentral:rRNA from 1 species
GCUUGUCUCAAAGAUUAAGCCAUGCAUGUCUAAGUAUAAAUUAGUUUAUAUUUGAAACUGCGAAUGGCUCAUUAUAUCAGUUAUAGUUUAUUUGAUGGUCCUUACUAUUUGGAUAACCGUAGUAAUUCUAGAGCUAAUACAUGCAUCAAUCCCCGACUUCUGGAAGGGGUGUAUUUAUUAGAUGGAAACCAAUGCGGGGCAACCCGGUAUAUGGUGAUUCAUAAUAACUUUCGGAUCGAUUUAUCGAUGCAUCAUUCAAGUUUCUGCCCUAUCAGCUUUGGAUGGUAGGGUAUUGGCCUACCAUGGCUUUAACGGGUAACGGAGAAUUAGGGUUCGAUUCCGGAGAGGGAGCCUGAGAAAUGGCUACCACAUCCAAGGAAGGCAGCAGG